CUUGGGGUACUAGCUUUCUUGCAAAGAUUGCUUCCUUCAUGGUUGAAAAGGACAUUCUUCAAACUCUAAGACUAUCUUAAAGAAAAAGAAGACUAAGAGGAAGAAGAUGAGAAAGAAAAAACUAUAAGAAUCCUUUCUCUUUUCCCUUCUCUCUUCUCUCCAAAACUCGAUGCUCAAGAGGAACCUAUGCCCAAGCUCAAGCCCUAAGGAAGGUUUUUUGAUCUUAUUUCUACAUCCCAAAGCUCCCUUAUUUAUAGAUGACGUCCAUAGGUUGGAUAGGGUUUAGGUUUUGAUAAGG
rnacentral:lncRNA from 1 species